GGAAACUGAGGAGGAUUCUAAAGAAAAUUUGUGCCAGGAGGGUUGUAUCUGCAAGAAGGGCACUGCCAGAGAUAGUUCAGGGAUCUGUGUGCCUUUUGUUACUUGUGAUAGGAAGUUCUUCAAUGUGGCUCUUGGGCAAAGAUCUCUUGAUAAUGGUGAAGAGUUUGUUGGGCAGAUUGGAAGGGAUGUUCAGGAUUCGCAACAGCCAGAGUCAAUUGGUAAACACGAGGAAUACGAAGAAGAGAUAGUAGCCUUGGAUUGUGACGACAACGAUGAAACCAAAUGCAAAACGCGCAAAAUUCCUGAAGAAAUUCAAGAAUUAGUCAGGAAAAGACCUGACUUGAUUUUGCCAAUUUUGGGAAUCACUACAUCAACGGACUCUCAAGAAGAGUCUUCAGACUUUUGGAACAAAAACGUGAACGAUAGCAAAAUUUGGCAGUAUCAACAAGAAGAAGAUAACAGUGAUGGCCAUAUAACUUCUUCCGGAAAUGUUUUUUGGUACAGAAGUUGAAAAUUAU